rnacentral:rRNA from 1 species
CGUAGGGUGCGAGCGUUAAUCGGAAUUACUGGGCGUAAAGCGUGCGCAGGCGGUUUAGUAAGACAGGCGUGAAAUCCCCGGGCUCAACCUGGGAACUGCGCUUGUGACUGCUAAGCUAGAGUACGGCAGAGGGGGUGGAAUUCCACGUGUAGCAGUGAAAUGCGUAGAGAUGUGGAGGAACACCAAUGGCGAAGGCAGCCCCCUGGGUCGAUACUGACGCUCAUGCACGAAAGCGUGGGUAGCAAACAGGAUUAGAUACCCUGGUAGUCCACGCCCUAAACGAUGUCAACUAGGUGUUGGGAGGGUAAAACCUUUUAGACCGGAGCUAACGCGUGAAGUUCGACCGCCGUGGGGAGUACGGCCGCAAAGGUUA